rnacentral:rRNA from 1 species
UGCCAGCCGCCGCGGUAACACGUAGGCACCAAGCGUUGUCCGGAUUUAUUGGGCGUAAAGAGCUCGUAGGCGGUUCAGUUAGUCGGGUAUGAAAACUCUGGGCUCAACCCAGAGAGGCUACCCGAUACUGCUGUGACUAGAGUACGGUAGGGGAGUGGGGAAUUCCUGGUGUAGCGGUGAAAUGCGCAGAUAUCAGGAGGAACACCAGUGGCGAAGGCGCCACUCUGGGCCGUAACUGACGCUGAGGAGCGAAAGCAUGGGUAGCAAACAGGAUUAGAUA